UCCUAAGUAGCUAGGGAGCCCUGAGUCAAG
rnacentral:piRNA from 1 species